UGGAGCUGGUAAGGCAACCGAAAUGUCCUGUUCUCAGAUUGGCGGACAUCCCAUUUUCUAAAGCCAUGGCCCUAAUGCUGAGAAUGAUGGGCUCAUUGCUUCACCCCUCCACUAAUUUGUUUGUUCGUUUGUUUCGAUCAUAACAAACAUCUAGUUUUAGAUCCUUUUGUCUUUGAUAACUCAUGAAACCUAAACUCAACCAAAUAUCAACUGUAUCAGAUUCUUGGCUUUCUCAUUCUUUUUUUUUUCUUUUUUGUUGAACAUUUGGCUUUCCCAUUCUGUUCAUGAAGAAAAGGAAAAAAAAAAAGAAAAAGAAAUCCAGAGUUUUAACAUGGUGCUAAUUAAGUUCCAUGCUUUGAGGAUGUUCGCUCAAAUAAAGAAACAAAGCAAAAACAAAAUGAAUUAGAGAAGUUGUAGCCAGAUUUUGUACGCAUUCACUUGCAAGCAGUUAGGCGAUGUUGAUGCACCCAUCAGUGCGUAGUUUUUGAUCUCCCUGUCUUACUCAGUUAAGAGCCAACCAUUAGUAUGGGAAUUAUGAUAGCAAUAUUGAAAGUAAAAAAGGAAAAGAAAACCAUUGGGUCCUUUGGAGACGGGUCGCGAUAGAAGAAGACGAGAACAUCAACACAUGAUCACAUGGCUUUGCACAUGAAGAGUCUCCCCCUUGAAAGAAAAUGACAAAAUGCAUCAGCUACCUCAACUGUUUAGGGCUCAAGACUAUAAAAAAAACUACUGUACAAUGUGAUCUAUAGGGCAGUAAUUCAAAGAGAAUCCAAUGAGCUGGAAUAACAUUUAUAUGGUAUGAGUUCGUUACAAUGGCAAUAGUACUGAGAUAUAUAUAUAUAUAUACAAAUGUCUUCAGUUGAUUAAUAAAAAAAGGUAUAUUUAUAAAAGAAGUAAUAUAAAAGAUGAAGGGCAUUUUGAGAUAGCCAAGGGCUAUAAAACGAGGAGCAUGUAUGGGUGUUUCCCAUGCACAAAUCCACUGCUAGCUCUCUUGACUCUUGAGAAGAAAAAGAAGUUUCUUGACUCGAGAGAAAAAAGAAAAGAAAAGCAGAAGAGUGCUAUACUAGACAUGAAGAAGAGGCAGCAGGAGCAAUCCCAGCAGCAACAGCAAAAGGGAUGCAAGGAGCUCUAUAGCAAUCAGCAAUAUCAGAUGCAGAAGCAGAUACAAUGCAACAAAGGAAAAACUUGCAAAUUCAAGAGAAGCAGCUCCAAUCUUGAAGAUGAUGGUGCUUCCUCUGCUAUUCUCUUGCUCGCUUGCAUUGCCUGCACUACUCCCUCUUAUUAAACUGUAGUACUGUAGAAGUCUAGAUAUAUAUAGAUAGUUACCCAGCUGAUGCUUAAGUUUUUAUAUCAUCUGAUUUCCUAGUUGAUUAUCUGGUCAGUAAUAUUAAUGUCUUUCUAUUUCUCUCUUGUCUUCAGCGUUUUGUUGUUCAGGUUUUUGCUGUUGUUUGCUAUAGCAUAUUCUUUGUUAUGUAUCUGAUGCCAAACUGUCUCUUACAUUCAGAUUGAUAUUA